GGGCUUUUCGGAAUUAUUGGGCGUAAGAGCUCGUAGGCGGUUUGUCGCGUCUGCCGUGAAAGUCCGGGGCUCAACUCCGGAUCUGCGGUGGGUACGGGCAGACUAGAGUGAUGUAGGGGAGACUGGAAUUCCUGGUGUAGCGGUGAAAUGCGCAGAUAUCAGGAGGAACACCGAUGGCGAAGGCAGGUCUCUGGGCAUUAACUGACGCUGAGGAGCGAAAGCAUGGGGAGCGAACAGGAUUAGAUACCCUGGUAGUCCAUGCCGUAAACGUUGGGCACUAGGUGUGGGGGACAUUCCACGUUUUCCGCGCCGUAGCUAACGCAUUAAGUGCCCCGCCUGGGGAGUACGGCCGCAAGGCUAAAACUCAAAGGAAUUGACGGGGGCCCGCACAAGCGGCGGAGCAUGCGGAUUAAUUCGAUGCAACGCGAAGAACCUUACCAAGGCUUGACAUGGACCGGACCGGGCUGGAAACAGUCCUUCCCCUUUGGGGCCGGUUCACAGGUGGUGCAUGGUUGUCGUCAGCUCGUGUCGUGAGAUGUUGGGUUAAGUCCCGCAACGAGCGCAACCCUCGUUCCAUGUUGCCAGCGCGUAAUGGCGGGGACUCAUGGGAGACUGCCGGGGUCAACUCGGAGGAAGGUGGGGACGACGUCAAAUCAUCAUGCCCCUUAUGUCUUGGGCUUCACGCAUGCUACAAUGGCCGGUACAAAGGGUUGCGAUACUGUGAGGUGGAGCUAAUCCCAAAAAGCCGGUCUCAGUUCGGAUUGGGGUCUGCAACUCGACCCCAUGAAGUCGGAGUCGCUAGUAAUCGCAGAUCAGCAACGCUGCGGUGAAUACGUUCCCGGGCCAUGUACACACCGCCCGUCAAGUCACGAAAGUUGGUAACACCCGAAGCCGGUGGCCUAACCCCUUGUGGGAGGGAGCUGUCGAAGUGGGACUGGCGAUUGGGACUAAGUCGUAACAAGGUAACC
rnacentral:rRNA from 1 species